AUGAACGCUAGCUACAGGCUUAACACAUGCAAGUCGAGGGGAAACGACAUCGAAAGCUUGCUUUUGAUGGGCGUCGACCGGCGCACGGGUGAGUAACGCGUAUCCAACCUGCCCAUCACUUGGGAAUAACCUUGCGAAAGUAAGACUAAUACCCAAUGACAUCCCACGAAGACAUCUGAAUGGGAUUAAAGAUUUAUCGGUGAUGGAUGGGGAUGCGUCUGAUUAGCUUGUUGGCGGGGUAACGGCCCACCAAGGCAACGAUCAGUAGGGGUUCUGAGAGGAAGGUCCCCCACAGUGGAACUGAGACCCGGUCCAAAAUCGUACGGGAGGCAGAAGUGAGGAAUAUUGGUCAAUGGGCGAGAGCCUGAACCAGCCAAGUAGCGUGCAGGAUGACGGCCCUAUGGAUUGUAAACUGCUUUUAUAAGAGAAUAAAGUGGGUCUCGUGAGACUUUUUGCAUGUACCUUAUGAAUAAGGACCGGCUAAUUACGUG
rnacentral:rRNA from 1 species